CAAAAUGCUGGCGUUUAACUGGUUAUAUGACCUUCCUCUGGGAACACUUGACUGGGCUACUCAAGUGAAGCAGUAGAAGUGGACAAGGAACAAAAAAAUCUACUCACAGCUGGAGAAAAUUUGUGUCAAGAUGAAUCAUGUUUUGAAUCUUCUCUCAUGUCAGAUUUAGAUAACUGUUUGGACUAUGGACCUCUUAGUUGAUGCUGGAAAGUGUUAAGAUUUUGGGGACUAUUAAGGUGAAAUAAAUGUAUUUUGCAUGUGAGAAAGACAUUAAUUUUGGGGGCUGUGGUGGAGAGCUAUGGCUUGAAUGUGUCCCCUAAGAAGCAUGUGUUGGAAACUUAAUCCCCAGUGCAACAGUGUUGGAAAGUUGGGCGUAAGAAAAGAUGUUUAUGUCAUAAGGGCUCCACCCACAUGAAUGCAUUAUUACUGAUUGUUAAAAGGCUUGAGGCUGCAAGUUUGAUCUCUCUCAUACACAAGCAUAUGUGGUUUCUUGCUCUUCUGUCUUUCACCAUGGGAUGGCUCAGUGAGAAGACUCUAACCAGAUGUAGGCCCCCUUGACUUUGAACUUCUCAGCCUCUCGAGCUGUAAGAAAUAAAUCACUGCUUUUUAAAUAAAUUAUCCAGUUUCAGAUAUUCUUUUGUAGCAGCAAAAAAUGGACUAUGACAUGGAGCUUUAAGAGACAUCUGAUAAAAAUAAAAUUUAAGUGAAAACGUGGGCAGAUAGGAUGAGAACCUGUCCCAUGAAAAAACCCUGUGUAGUCACUAGGUGAGAGAAGAAAUUCAGAACACCAUGUCUUCACUCUAUAUGUGUACAUCCUAGAGAUGAAGAAUUAUAGAUUAAAAAACCAAAAUUACUAUUUAAUUAUUUUGUAUAACAAAAUGAGACACUACCAUCACUUUUUGAGACACUUAUAUCUAUGUCAACCAAAAAGCAAAUCCCAAUUUUUCCUCCCCAUACAACAGACCAUCACAUAAACUCCGCCCUGUGAGGGCCCAGGCCAUCUAAUUACAGCAUUGCAGCUAUCACAACUAAGCCAAGUAUCUCAGGAGAAAAAAAGCUACCUGUUUCUAGCCACACAAUUAAGCCAUGUAAACACAUGUCAUACUUUGUGUCAAAGCAGUGAUAGUAUCAGUUACUUAGAGAUGAAUAACUGGUGCUUGGGACUGGAGCAGCCUUGAGACAAGAAUAUCACUCAUCAGUCCCAAAGAAAUGGCAGAGGAGGAACCAUGGCUGGAAAAGCAGACGCUAUAGUGGAAGACAACCUUUUAGGCUUCCUCAAAAGCCUGGAGUUGGGGUAUCUUGCUGGUAAUUGAAAUUCCUAUGUAAAAUGUUGGAAUAAAGAAUAAAGUUAAUUUGGGUGUGUUCUAUUUUUUCCACAUAAACUUGCAAGUUAGACCCACAGUUUUUGCUUAUGUAUCAAUGUUAUAAUAUGCUACUUUAACACUAGUGCUAGUUUAUUAAUCCUAUGAGUUCAACUGUGUAAUUUUCAUUUUUUUGCUGUGUUUUGUAGGAUUUUAUGUAGUUUAAUGUUUUCCUCCAUAUCUGAAAUAAAAUUUA
rnacentral:lncRNA from 1 species